rnacentral:rRNA from 1 species
CCUACGGGAGGCAGCAGUGAGGAAUAUUGGUCAAUGGGCGGGAGCCUGAACCAGCCAAGUCGCGUGAGGGAAGACGGUCCUAUGGAUUGUAAACCUCUUUAGGCGGGGAGCAAUGCCGGGCACGCGUGCCCGGAGGGAGAGUACCCGCAGAAUAAGCAUCGGCUAACUCCGUGCCAGCAGCCGCGGUAAUACGGAGGAUGCGAGCGUUAUACGGAUUUAGUGGGUUUAAAGGGGUCGUAGGCGGAUUUUUAAGUCAGCGGUAAAAUGUCCGGGCUCAACCCGGGCCGGCCGUUGAAACUGGGGAUCUUGAGUGGGCGAGAGGUAUGCGGAAUGCGUGGUGCAGCGGUGAAAUGCAUAGAUAGCACGCAGAACUCCGAUUGCGAAGGCAGCAUACCGGCGCCCGACUGACGCUGAGGCACGAAAGCGUGGGGAUCGAACAGGAUUAGAUACCCUUGUAGUC